rnacentral:tRNA from 1 species
GGGGUUGUAACUCAGUGGUAGAGCGCUUGCUUAGCACGCAUGAGGUACUGGGUUUGAUCCCCAGCACCA